UUUGAAAUCUGCGCGGGCCCCGGAGGCUGUGGAGGUUGAGGAGCUCCGCGGCUUUCUCACUCUCAGUCUGCCGAUACUGCUCGUGGGUGUAUUUCACACACUGAGAUUCCCAGUGCAUGCGAGCAGUCUUCAAAAUGGGUUUGGGCCAAUUUGAUAGUUAAGAUCAAAAACCAAUUGGGGACAAGGACCUUCAGCAUCCGGACACACGGAUUCAAAGCAUUAGCACCAAUCUCCAACACCCUACAUGGUGAGUUCUCCCACAAGGACACUUGACCUUUUAGGCAGACUAUGAACACUCAAAAGUGAUGUGUAUUAUAAUAUAUGAGGCAUGCUGGCUAGUUUUGUUGGUUUUUGUUUUUGUCAACUGGACACAAGCUGGAGUCAUCUAGAAAGAGGGAACCAAUGAAAGAAUCAUCUUUAUUAGAUUGCUCCGUGGGCAACUCUGUGGAGACAUUUUCUUGAUACGUGAUUGAUGGGAGGGGGCAGUCCAUUGUGGACAGUGCCAACCCCUGGGCAGGU
ensembl:lncRNA